UUCAAUUGUAUAAAUUAGGAAGUAUCAGCCGCCGCCGCCUCCUCUGGUAUCUCCUCUGCUCCUCUCGCCCCUGUGACCUCAGCAUCUGUCUCUGCAACCUCUGUGUCUCCUCUGCUGCUCCCUCUGUGGCUGGUCCCUCAGCCCACCCUGCUCCUGACUCUCUGCCAUUGGCUUAAGAUGAUGUGGAUACUGCUCCUGGUUCAGAGCCUGGCUGGCUGCCCGCAAAUAUGAUGAGGACCAUACCACCUCGGGAUCAGAUAUGGAUUUCAGCACCUCUGUGGAAGCACCAGCAGCUGCGCUCUGACCUGAAACUGUGGUAUGCUCCACCAGAGCCAGCACUCAUUUAUCAUCAGGCCCCCACUCCAGAGCGCUUUUUCACCCUCUUGUGGAUGCCAUACCACCUAUGAAAGGUCAGGUUGUCCUGUGUUGUGUGUGGAAAAUGGCUCACAGGCUACAGAGCCCACAAGAGAGCCUGUCAGGUUCUGGAUGUGGACAGAUAUUGCCUGAUGAUAACAAAAACUCUCUGGUGCAGUUCAAUUGGUUGCAAAACUGGUUACAUUUCCGCCAGCAAGAUCAUGUUGGACCAGCUGGAUUUGGCACACAGGCUGGAGUUCGGACUGAUCCUGACUCGAAAAUAUGCUUGUGACAUGUAGGUGAUGCAUUUUCUGAGGGAGAAGACCCUGGGUAACAGCCACUCCUCGCUUGGUCAAGCAGUGAAAACCACAGCGAGGAGUGGCUUAAGCGCCUCUGCUGGUACCUUAGCACAUGCUCAGACUUUGUUGUAGCUAUCCUGUCUCACAGGUGGAUGCUGGCUGUUUAUGGCUGAGUUAUUUUGAGCAGGCUGGACAACAUCAAGGCCAGGAUAACAUCCACAGGUACAGUGAUGCUGGUGUGGCUCCUCCUCAGCUACUUUAUGUAAACACUGACUGUUGUUGGGAGGGCAGACAAAAGGACAGACAGAUCUGGUUGUCAAGCUCGAUAUCUCUAUCACUUCAUGCGGUGAUUGACAUCUGAGUGUACAAAGGAUGCACAUCCUCUGUACACCAUCUCUAUGGCCAAACUGUUAUACUGCAUUUUUGAGUGGGACGAUGGAGAUGUUGCCUUGCUGCGAGGGAGCCAAGAGGGAACAGUUGAAAUGGGAAGGUAUCCCUGGCAUCACUGAAAAACCAGUGGACCAGCAGAUCACCAAGGAGGAACUGGCUCUGCACUGCAGAAGGUGGAUAAGAAGAGAGCAGCAGACCAUCAUCAUGAUUUAAUGCCUUCUUAACAAGCUGAUCAGGGUAGAGGGGGGCAGAGACCUUCUAGGUGUCUCUCUUAGACCAGGAGAAGAUGCAGCACAUCUGGCAAGUCCAGACGAGGCAUGCUAAGUGCAUCCAAGAUGAACCAGGUGUGUUCCUGUACACUGAGACUGGCUCCACAUCUGAACUGGUUAAUUCCAGGAACAAGAGCCAGCAGCCAGAAUUUCCAGUCUUACCUCCUGGAAGGCCUUAAAAGAUGGAACCAGGACCCUGAAGCUGCAUCCUUGGCAGUCAAGCCUCCCUCACUGCUCACCUACUCAGGAGACCUCAUUCACUGUGUCAGCACCUACAGUGUCAUCCACCUGCUGUUUACACUGGGGAGCUAAUAGGUACAGAUUACCUAUACUGCCAGACAGGAAGGGCCAUGCAGGAUGUACAUCCUGACUCAGAGGAGACUGACCAGAUGCUGGAGGAUGUAGACACUGAGGAGGAGUUGGGAGAUGAGGGCUUUGAAGAUGCUGGCUUGGACCCCACCAUUGUGCUACUGGACCUGUCCUCUGGCCCAUCACCUGUCACCACCAGCUCAGCCAGCGUUCCAACUCCCACCUCUCUCCAGGCUACUGCUGGUCCUUCUGGGCCUGCAUCUGAUAUCACUGCAGCAGCACCUUAACAACAACUGAUUUUGCACAAGUGCACAGAUAUUCCCUCUGGCCCAUUUGCGCUCCCUACUGGGUCUACACCAGACCUCCCAACUCCCACCAAGCCUUCCAGCUACUCUACCAGCUGCUGCAACUGCUGGUCCCUCGGCUUCAUCCCAGCAGCACCUCAGCAACAGCUGCUGUCACCACCAGCUCAGCCUCUGUCCUUCCUCUUUCCACUACCCUCACAACCUCUGGAUCACAAGCCAUCACCCCGACAGCAGCAAC